rnacentral:rRNA from 1 species
CAUGCAAGUCGAACGAUGAUGGGAGCUUGCUCCUGGAUUAGUGGCGAACGGGUGAGUAACACGUGAGUAACCUGCCCUUAACUCUGGGAUAAGCCUGGGAAACUGGGUCUAAUACCGGAUAUGACUCCUCAUCGCAUGGUGGGGGGUGGAAAGCUUUAUUGUGGUUUUGGAUGGACUCGCGGCCUAUCAGCUUGUUGGUGAGGUAAUGGCUUACCAAGGCGACAACGGGUAGCCGGCCUGAAAGGGUGACCGGCCAGACUGGGACUGAAACACGGCCCAAACUCCUACGGGAGGCAGCAGUGGGGAAUAUUGCACAAUGGGCGCAAGCCUGAUGCAGCGACGCCGCGUGAGGGAUGACGGCCUUCGGGUUGUAAACCUCUUUCAGUAGGGAAAAAGCGAAAGUGACGGUACCUGCAAAAAAAGCGCCGGCUAACUACGUGCCACCAGCCGCGGUAAUACGUAGGGCGCAAGCGUUAUCCGGAAUUAUUGGGCGUAAAGAGCUCGUAGGCGGUUUGUCGCGUCUGCCGUGAAAGUCCGGGGCUCAACUCCGGAUCUGCGGUGGGUACGGGCAGACUAAAGUGAUGUAGGGGAGACUGGAAUUCCUGGUGUAGCGGUGAAAUGCGCAAAUAUCAGGAGGAACACCGAUGGCGAAGGCAGGUCUCUGGGCAUUAACUGACGCUGAGGAGC